GGGCGAGUUUCAGAUUCGAUUGCAGGCAGAGGAUAGGAAAAGCAUACCAAAGGCUCGGCUUUGUAAAAACGGAAACUUAAAUUUAAACGCAGAAUCAAAAGAUUCAAAAGUUGUUGCUUUCCCCUCGAUGAGAGGAGCAAGCGUAGCUUGCGCAGCUUAAAGAUUAAGCUGUCCGUCGUCUGCCGAAUACCGUUGUCGGCUAAGCGGCGUUAAUUAAACGGUUAACUGCUUUCGCGUAUUACCGCGCGCUAAAGUUAGUAUUUGGCGGUAUGCUGCCGCAUAAGCUUGUCUGUCGGCGUAUGCGUAGUAAGAUAAAAGACACACUAAGUAUGUAGAAAGCUUAAACAAAGUCUGUAAGACUAGGGUGCAAGUCCCUACUCGUCCACCA
rnacentral:tmRNA from 1 species